UACGUAGGGGGCGAGCGUUGUCCGGAUUUAUUGGGCGUAAAGAGCGUGUAGGCGGUUCGGUAAGUCUGUCGUGAAAUCCUGAGGCUCAACCUCGGACGUGCGAUGGAUACUGCCGGGCUAGAGGAUGGUAGAGGCGAGUGGAAUUCCCGGUGUAGCGGCGAAAUGCGCAGAUAUCGGGAGGAACACCAGUAGCGAAGGCGGCUCGCUGGGCCAUUCCUGACGCUGAGACGCGAAAGCUAGGGGAGCGAACAGG
rnacentral:rRNA from 1 species